rnacentral:rRNA from 1 species
GAAAGCCUGACGCAGCGACGCCGCGUGGAGGAUGAAGGCCCUCGGGUUGUAAACUCCUGUCAGUGGGGAAGAGAAUGGACGGUACCCACUGAGGAAGCUUCGGCUAACUACGUGCCAGCAGCCGCGGUAAGACGUAGGGAGCAAGCGUUGUCCGGAAUUACUGGGCGUAAAGAGCUCGUAGGCGGGACCGUAAGUCCGAGAGGAAAUCUCAAGGCUCAACUUUGGGGCUUUCUCGGAUACUGCGGUUCUUGAGGAUAUCAGGGGACAGUAGAAUUCUCGGUGUAGCGGUGAAAUGCGUAGAUAUCGGGAGGAAUACCAGUGGCGAAGGCGACUGUCUGGGAUGUUCCUGACGCUGAGGAGCGAAAGCGUGGGUAGCAAACGGGAUUAGAUACCCCGGUAGUCCACGCCGUAAACGAUGGAUACUAGGUGUAGGAGGUAUC